rnacentral:rRNA from 1 species
UACAUAGGUCUCAAGCGUUGUUCAGAUUCAUUGGGCGUAAAGGGUGUGUAGGUGGCGCCGUAAGUCGGGUGUGAAAUUUCGGAGCUUAACUCCGAAACUGCAUUCGAUACUGCGGUGCUUGAGGACUGGAGAGGAGACUGGAAUUCAUGGUGUAGCAGUGAAAUGCGUAGAGAUCAUGAGGAAGACCAGUGGCGAAGGCGGGUCUCUGGACAGUUCCUGACGCUGAGGCACGAAGGUCAGGGGAGCAAACGGG